rnacentral:lncRNA from 1 species
CCCCGCGAUGUCUGCAUACAGACAUUCUUUCAUAAGAUGAUUUUAUUCUUAGCUCUUCAUAAAACAUGUUGUGUAAUCACAUAACUUUCUACUAAAGUUCGAGAGUUGUUUUGUAGGCCUGUCACUUCCAAAACAAGGAUUAGUGGCAACCUCAAGUGGCAAGACAAAGAACAUCCAGAGAUGAUGUCCCAUCAGCCUGUCUGUCUAUGGCGGUCGUGUUCUUUUGAUGAAUCUAUUUGCAAUUUUGACAGGACAAUAGAGUUUUGACGAAUGUAAUGCAGUUUACGAGGGUUCAAUCAGGAAGACCGGUCUGAAUGGCUCGUCCCUUUUUAUGCAUCCAGUAUUCACAUCACGUCCUAUCUCACUCAUCAGCAUAGCAG